rnacentral:misc_RNA from 1 species
AAACUAUUGCAUUUCAAUUAGUUAUCUUCCCUGUUUUUAUAUCUGAAAUUGAGAUAUAAUUCACUCUUUUUUUGCCUAGAGAUAAUUCAUGGGGAACCUUGCAUGUCCAAGAUUGUAGAUUAGUUGAUUUUUUUUUUUUACUUAUUUGAUCUCAUAUUCCAUAUGCACUAUUGUCUAUUGUGGUUGAGCAUCUAUGCUUAUCUAGCUUGGUAAUAUUGUUGUGUAGUUCUUUAGUUGUUAAAAUAAUGGUGGUG